rnacentral:lncRNA from 1 species
AAGGCCAAUGGCUUACACCCAUGACCCUAUGUAUCUCCCAUGGCUCUUUACCAUUUUUACACUUUAUAAGCCAUAUCGGCCUCCUCACUGUUUCAUUACUUUUAUUUUUUUUUUUAUCUUUUUGACCCACUUUAUUGAAGCAUACAUUACAUACCACAAAACCUGCCCAUUUUAAGAACUCAUUUUUACAAUUUUAAUAAAUUAAUAUAAUUGUGCAGCUAUAAAUUGAGCCUAGUCUUAGGACACAAUCUUCAUUCCAAAAAAGUUAUCUUGUGCCUAUUUGCAGAACACCUACUUCCCCUAUGGUUCCAAGAGACCACUGAUUUACUUUCUAUACCUAUAGUUUUCCCUUUCUGGUAAUUAAAUAUAAAUACAAGGUAUAAUAUAUUAUCUUCCACAUCAGGCUUCUUUCAUUUAGCCUAAUGUUUUUUAGGCCUACCUAUAUUGUAGCACAUAACUAUAGUUUGUUCGUUUUUAUUGCUGACUAGAAUCCACUUUAUAGCCAUAUUUUACCUUUUGUGUUUCUGUUGACCACUUUAUGGACAUUUGAAUUUUCUCGAAUUCUUGACUUUUACGAAUAAUGCUAAUAUGAUUAUUAAUGUCCAAGCCUUUUUGAACAUAGCUUUUCAUUAUUCUUUGGUAGAUAAAUAGGAAUGAAAUGACUGAGUUAUAUGAUUAGCAUAUGUUUAGCAUUCUAAGAAGCUGCCAAACUCUUUCCCAAAGCAAGCUGUACCAUUUUACAGUCCCAUCAGCAACAUUAUAAGGAUUUCAUUUCUCCACAGCCUAACAUUUGGUAUCAUCAUUUUUUUUUGCAUUCUAGUGUGCAUAUGAUCUCGUUAUAGUUUAAUUUGCAUUAAUCUAAUGGUUAACUAUAUUUAAAAUAUUUUUUGUGGUCAGUUAUCAUUCCUAUAUCUGCUUUGGUGAAUUGUCUCAAAAAUUUUGCCUAUAUUUUUUAAAUUGGGUGUUCUUCUUCUUAACUUAUAAGUGAUGUUUGUAUAUUCUAGAUGUAUGUCCUUUACCAGAUAUAUAAUGUGUGAUUAUUUUUCUCUCCCUAUGUAGCUUCUCUUUUCAUUUUCUUAUGUUUUAUUAAGUGUUUUUAGUUUUGAUGAAGUCCUAACUCCUCUUUUAGCUAUGAAUAUUCUGGCCCCAGCUCUCAUCCCCUCAUUUCCCUCAGGUCUCAAUUUGAGUGUCACCAUCUCAAAAAGUUCUUUAAUAUCUGCUCUUGAUGGUUAUUAGUGUUGUUUAAAACAUAUACUUAGGUCUGGCCACUUUCUAGCUAUCCUGUAACUGAGUGGGCUACAGGAUUAGCUCUGGGCAGUGAGUUGUAAGCAGGAAAGUGGUAAGUUGCACUUCCUUCUAGAUCAUGUCCCUCCAGGACCCUCUUUUCCCUUUAGCGCAAUGACCAACGACAGGCAAGAUGGGGUCUGAUUCUUUAGCCUAGGUCACUGAAUGAUUUCAAGAAGCAGAGUUUGGUGCCAACCCACAAUAUACAUACAGCAUGAGCAGGAAACCUAUGCUUUUAAAGCCACUAAGUUUUGAAGGUCUCUUUGUUACUUCAGCAUAUUCUGAUUGAUAUGCAUUCCCAAAGAAAUUUCUCAUGGAAAUUGUCUAUUCACUUACCCAGUUUUUUCUUUAUAGAAUUUAGUACCUGAUGUGCGUCUGCCUUGCCCACUAACACAUAUGGUGGGGGUGUAGUUUGGUUGACUGCUAAAUCCCUAGCACCUAUAACAGAGCCUUGCACAUAAUACCUAUGCAAUAUAUGUUAAAUAAGUAAAUAUGACUUCACCUUAAGAGAGGCAUGUUAAAUUUGGCACAUCAAAAUACAACACAUUGUUUAAAACUGCACCUGAAAAUGUUGCUAGUUUUAUUGUGCUAUUAUUUACGAAAAGCAGCAAAAUUUGAAUGCACUUACAAUUGCUGAAAGUUCCUAGGGGUCUUUGAUAAAACUUAUAAAUAAAACACUAAAUCAACUGAGAAUUAUUAAAUUCCUCAAAGACUGCUACUCUAUGCACUGUACACACUGCUUAUUAAGCAGAGCCAAUGCUUUCAAAUGUAAAUACAUGUUAGUCCUGCAUUAUCUUUUAAUCAGUCCUAAGGAAUAAUAUCCUUAGCAAGAUAUGGUUAGAUACCUGAUUUUACCUUGCUGUCUCAGCAUCUUUUCUUUAUUUUAGUUCUUCAUGGUUUGCUGAUUCCCAUCUACGUCCUAUGUUAAUUUGCAGUAGAUUGAUCAUGCCAGGUAUUCUUUUUCAUUAUAAAUGGGUGUCAUGACUGGACUGGUGAAGGAACAUAAAAGUUGUACCUCUAUAGAGUUCAGACCCCAGUCUCAUGUCUAUUCCUUCCCUAGUCACCCAGAGACUAUAAUGUUUUGCACACUCUGCCUGGGAUGGUCUUCUUCCAGAUAUCUUGACUCAAAUGUGCUCUUCAUAUGCAGGCAAUCCUGAUCACUCUAAAUAAAAUUAAAAAUUAUCUUUACUCCCAGGAUGCCUACAGUCCUAUUUCUUUGUUUUAUCUCAUUCAUACUUAGAGCCAUCUGACAUGUUAUUCUCACCUUGUUCAUUCCAUCAUUACUGUAGAGAGAAGGCUAUAUGAAUUCACAAAUGUCUCUUUCUAAAAACUUCUUGUAUUCUCUAUGCCCACAUCAUUGCCAGACACACAGUGAACAAUGAAUAAACAUGCUGAGUGGAGGAACUGACUUAAACCAAAUCAAAGCCAAUAUGAUUUCUGAAGGGGUAGGCAGAGAUACUGGGCCCUAAGACUUUCCACAAUGAUGCCCAGACAUAUACUCAUAUGUUUGCUAGACUGGGAUACCCUGACAGAAGACAAAUUGCAGAAUAGUGCUAAGACAAAACUCAUUAUAAGAAGGGAUACAGUGACAGAGCCUGAGAACAAAGUCAAAGACGAGAUUAACCAUAUUCUGCUCUAGCAUAAAAUCCACCUAUCCUUGGGCAAAGUGGUAGCACUACUUUGUUUUAAGAGACGUUGAAAGGAGUUGUUAAAAGAGUUUCAUCAUGCUUAUACUAAUACCUGGAGCACUUAUAAAACUUUGCUUUGAGAGUUGAAGCGUUCCUCUCACUUUGUUAGAGUGAUUAUGAGCAAGUCAGGCCUUCAUAUCCACAGGUGGCAUCUAGUGACAAUGAUAGGUAGUUGGAUUUAAGCUCUUAUCAGCACCAGCUCUCAAAGAGUGAAGCAGAUUUAUCCUCCACUAUGGCAUAGGUUUGGGCUCAUUAAAGACAACAAAAUUACGGUUGGGAGCUUCACUCCUAACCUGACUCACCAUGAAAGAGCCUGAAAAGAAAUCCAUCACUUCACCAUUGGCCACACUGAGCCUCCAGGAGGGCUCUGUGCAAGCUCUCUAGGAAUAGUAACAAAGAAGGCAAGUUUUCCUUUGCACAGCUCAGCAAAGUCAUUCACAAAUACUUGCCAUUGAAGUACAAGAAUCUGCUUCUUGUUCCACUAGCUCUGGAAACCAAGUUAUACCCAGAUGUACAAGGCGAGGAUGUAUUUGGCAAUACUGGCAAUGUCAAUGACACCAAUGCUCUAGCUGAGUGAGUGAUGCUGUGGAAAUGUUAGGAACUUCUGGCAUAACUAUCUACGUGCAAGAGCAAUGAGGAACAAUGAGAAUUCUGAGCAUCUGGGGUUCUUGAAAUUACUUGAGGUGGGGGAAGAAACUCUAUUUUUGAAAGUCAAUAUUCCUUCAACUAUGAAGAAAGUGAUAAAGAACUUUUUAUAUUUGGGGACCAAAAAUUCAACCAACAGGUGAAUACAGACACUUGAAGCACAAUAAACGUCACAGUAAAUGCUCAGGAAUCUAUUCUUCAUAUGCUUAUAAUUUACAUAUUAAACUUACAGUUUUAUAUUUACUGAAUUCUUAUAAAGUUUCUGCUUCCAAGGCUAAAUUUCUAUCACACACAUACAGGCAAUGUCAUAAAUUUGAUCUUAGGGAAUUAUCCUCUUCAAUUUAAUACUGAAAAAUAUUUGUUCUACCUGUCUAUUGUCUUAAGAGUGGCUGCAAAACGUUGCCUUCUUUGGCAUAAGGACUGAUGGUAAGGGACUUUAAAGUACUUUGGAGUUUUGCAUUGGAAAAUGAAAGCUUUUAGGUAAGUAACAUUCCUAAGUCUUCGUUACUGAUCAGAAAUUAUUAUUGUUAGCUUCUGUGAUGCACACUGUUAAACAAUCCCACUACAUGUAACGGUCCUCAAUUUGUUUUCUGGAAAAUCAUUUAAUCUUAUGUUUGUUAUGCUGGCAUGAAAGAAUGGGAAGUAAUACUGACUACCUCUUUCCUCAAUAUAGAUUUAUCUCUUUGCUGAAAAUUACAUCACUAUUAUUAGCAAUUUUGCAAAAAAUAAGCUAAGUAUACUCAACUCAUAUUUGCCCUUAUAUGAGUGCUCCACCUUGAACAUAAUCUGGAGUGAAUUUUAGCCAUUUUACCAACCUCUAUCAUUUAUAGGGAUACAGAGUUUAUUUACUUAUUUCUCCCUACUCUAUUCCUAUCUGCAUAAACUCAGUCUCUGGAAAAUUAAGUCAGGAAGUAACCUGAACUUAUUUGACAUUGAACUGGAACUCAGGUGUAGACAACAGAAGAUUUCAAGUUCAAAUGAUUUUGAAAAUCCAAAAGUUACCCCCCAAAAUCUAGAGUCUAAAAUGCCAGAAGGAAAUUCAUGUAAUCACCAAAUCUAAGAAAAGAGUAUCUAGUAUUUACAUUCAAGAUGGAAACUUUAUAAUCAGUGAAAUAUUUAAAGAGGUUGGAAGAAAAUGCUGAAGACUAGAUGUCAUUAAACAAAAAAGCUAGGACCUUAUCUAGCCUGAAGCUUUUACUUAAAGGCAAACUUAGGCAUGGUGCAUAAGUGGAUUGAUCUGACUUAAAAGGCCAGAUGCAAAGUUAAUACUGAUACUUAUAAAGUUAGACACUUUUGUAUAGCUAUUUGAUGCAGUAGCAUCAAAAUGUGAACAUACUUGUUUUAAUCAUUGAAAAUGUAUGCAAAGAAUCAUCUUGAUCACUCUGGUCUCAUCUCUGAAAGUAAAAAGAAUAAUAGGCCAGGUAUGGGAAGAAUUAGGAAAUAGGUUGAAAAUUGGAGUUAAUCUCAAAAAUGGAGAGGGAAUGUCUGUUUAUUCAUUUUUACAUUUAUUCAACAAAUAUUUUUGAAUGUCUGUCAUUAUCAAACAGAGGCAUCUGUUAUAUAGCUUUUUUGGUAUUACAUUUUAUUAAACCUGAAGUUUAUAAUUUGAUUCUAAACCCAACCUAAAGAAGCCAUAUUUUUUUUGGGGGGGGGGGGAACAGCUAAGGCAUAUGAUAGUUCCCAGGCAUAGGUAGCUUCAGGCCUAUGCCACAGCCAUGGCAUUGCCAGAUCUGAGUCACAUUUGGGACCUACA